CCGAUGACGUUCGUACGGUCGCUCGUACGACUCACGUAGUAGUCAGGUGUGAAACGCUCACGGGCGCACCGCCGCGUACACACGCGUCCGCGCCAUCACCCACACAACGGAGUGGCGCGGCGGGCGCGCGCACGCGCACCAACACACUCGCAGUUUCGCGACGUGCGAGCACGCACACAACCGCGGAUUCGCGACGCGCGUGUGAGAGACUCGACGCGAAACACGGAUGUACGAACGCACGCACGCACUCACGUACACUGUGCACGCACGGCACAUACACGCGCGCAGUGGGAGGCAGCAUCGCGCGUGAUUUCCUCGAGAAUCCUCGCGAUUCGCGGCACCGGCGUCGUCGCGCGAUCAAAAAAACACGCGUUCAUGCGUAUCGUGGCCGAGUUGAGGUUAUCGCGGGAGAAGGGUGAAGGUGGCACACGUAAAAGUAUCUCACGCUACGCACCUACGUCACGAGCCGCCGCUCGUAGGUUAAUCACUUUCGUCGCGGCCGGAUUUCGCGGGAACGCGGCCCUCCCCCCGCCUGUCAUGGCGGAUCGAUUUCCUUCGGCCCGAUCGCGAGAUUUCUCGCCAAGUGGACCCGGUGAGUGGACAAACGGAGCGCGAAUCUUGCACCUCGGAAAAUCCUCGGCUCGCAUCGCACUCGGGUACGCGUAAAUUUCAGAGAAUGCAUCGAGCGCGUCGCGACGAACUCCGCGAUAACCUCUAAUUGUUCCCGCGGUUUCUGCGCGCUGCGACAAGGAGCGACAACUUCGCGCAUGUGAAAGCUCCCGUGUUUCCUCCAUCUUUCUUCGCUGAAACUGUCCACCCUUUCGUCCCUUACAUUUUCGAUCCGCAUCUGCGAACUUGCCUUCGAUGUCUGACGAAUGUGCUGAAGAGGAAUCCCUUUCGUGUACCUCACAGACAACCGGAACUCUCUGAGUGAGUUCUAUUUUUCUCGAUCACACAUCUAUUGCUAUACCGGUUACCUUUCUCAUUUCUCGCGCGUCUCACUUCUCGCUCCUCGCGAUCCUAUUCGCGCGAGCAUGUUGUGCGUGUGCUUUGAGUUCCACCGCGCGCACUCGUCUAUCGCGAGUCUCGCGGCACUACGUUUUUAUAUAGAUUCUUAGAUAACGCGCGAAUCGCGAUGCUCGCCUGCAUUCGCACUCAUUCGGGCGAGAAGAAGAGAAGUAUUCAGCAAGAAACAAAUGGUGUUCUUUAAUCUGAAUCAUUUCAUUUCGCUUGCGGCCGCGAGCGAUCGAUCCCGCAAAAGAAAUCGCUAAUUAAAGCGCAAUAGAGGGCUUUUAAUCAAAAAGCUGCAGGCUGACGUUAGUCGUGGUGCAUUAUCUUGGGGCAGUAAUGUACAAAGGAUCAUCACGAACAACGUGGUCAUAUUAAGAUCUCUGCCUUUUCUGGUAUCUGCUUGAAUUAUCUUUUUCUUUCGAAACAUCGCCGAGGCAGAAUUUACGUAUCAAUUUAUUUUAAUAAGACGACUCGGACGUGGCUGUAUCGUCUGCGAAUUUAAAUGACAUGCGCACAAUCGGGUAUAUAAUUAUAAUGACGAAUAUGUACCGCGUGAAGCUACGGCGAUAUUUUCAUGGAUCGAGAUGCUCGCUGAAAAUGGCUGGGGGGCACUUCGAUACUUCGACGCGUGUGUAUCGCUGGCGGGCACGUUUAGACGAAGAAAAGUGGUUUCGCGGUCACUAUCGAGCGAUCGUUACUCGUAAAUUACGCGCAGAUUAGUGAUUUACAGUCGACACGCGGGUACAUACCGCACGGACCAAGUGUUUCAACCUGAGGAGGGCCGAAUCCGUGGCGCAAUCGGCGUUGAUAUUUUCCGCGUUUGCGUGCCAGGCGUAAUUAAUAAUUUCAUAUUCUGAAAUAGGCAACACCUACCACGAUUUAUUACCCUCGCGUAUUUUCCACGAUCGCCGUGCCAUUUCGCAACGCGCAAACAUCACCAAUCAUUCGCCGAGAAAGUAUAUAAAAUAUAUUGACAAGAAAGCGUUAAACGAAAUCCUUCCCAUUAUGCGCGAGAGAAAGGAAAAGUUUUACAACCUAACAAACAAAAUUUUCCCGCAGACACGUUAAAUAUCACAAACAUAACUUCAACUCCGCUACACUUCCAAGUAUCCAAGUUGAAGAAAAGAACUACGAGUCGAACAAAUUAUCGGGAAGAAAAUUGCUUCGUAAUGGAACAGUACUUUCCAUCUUUUUCGUAGAUCGAUUUUUUUCAUUUAAAGGUUAAAAAAAGGUAAAAGAAAUAGAGAGGCAGAAGCAGCUGGCAGACAUUGUCGAGCCUGCAUUCGGGUAUCCGCGAUUCCACGCGUCGCACGCGCGAUUAUAGCCGUCCGGCCGCGAGUGUGCGACGCGCAUCGAUCGCGCCGUCGGCGAUUGCACGCGCGCGACCACGCGUAUGUCAAUGUCUCUUUUCUUUUUUCUUUUUUUUGUGCAACCCUUUUUUUAUAACCGCGUGGUUACGGUGAAUUGCGCGUACUUAAGUAACGCGCGGCGCGCGCGUUGCGUGUGAACGUGGAUCGCCAGACCGCUCUCGCCCGUGUUAAUUUUUGCUUUGCGCGAGCGUGCAUGCGUGCGCAAAGUGCGUACGGCCGGCCGGUCGAUCAGUCGUAUCGGACGCACACGCUCGGUGACGUCGCCCGAAAGUGCAUCCUCGAGCGAACGAGCGUGUGCGUUAUUAGGUAACCCCGAGAUAGCGUGCCGUCAGGGUCGGAGAUCUCUCCUCGUCGACGAUUACGGAACGCGGUCCGGUGACUCGAUUUAUUCUCUCACCUCGCGUCUACGCGUUCAGGAUUUACUUUCGAUACGUUUUGAUACGCGCGUUACGGUCGUCGUCUUCCGCGGCGGGAAAUAUAGCAAGGAAGAGAAAUAGGAAUGGAAAUGGAAAUGGAAAGAAAUAGAAAAGAGAGUACGAGGUAGCGGAAACUGGCACUGUUACGCGCGCGCGCCGCGGAGAGAGAAAGAGAGAGAGAGGAAGAGAAAGAAAGAGAGAUAGAGGAGGAAUUAAAUAAGAGAUUAAAAUAGUCACGCGCGUCGUAAACAUUGCGAUUUAAACGGCUAAACGUUAAUUUCAUGUCCCGUUUGCACUUGUACUUGAGUAUCGCGGAAAUACGAGACACACGGGCGUCCCGCGAACGCGUUAGUAACUGAAUACAUAGCGAAUGUGAAUACGCGCGCGGACAACAUUUUGCCGAGCCGAAUUUCGCAAUUUUCGUCUUUUACAAUGGCAAGCCUUAGUCUCUCCCGUAACUCCCUCUGCGCAGGAAAAACUACUUGUCUCGUCGUUUUUCGUAAAAAAACGCAACGUAAAGUUUCGCUUAUGUGACGUUUAGGUCGUAUCGAUGCGUGUGUCUCGUCUUUUGCCGCCAACGUUCUCGUCGUUUGCGAGAGGGACAACGCGUCGUUAAGCUAACCGCAGAAACUGAUACGGAUCGAAAGCACGAGAGCUUACAAGCACAAGCCUUAGAAAAGAGAGUCUAUGAAACGAAGGCUUAGAAAAUUUUCAACAAUUUAACGACUUUCGCUCAUCGCGAUACCGUGCACUUAAGCAUCGGCUAUGAAUAGUGAAUAGAAAAGUUGCUAAAAAGCACUUUCCAGUCCGAUUACCGCAUUAAUUAUUUUGCCACAGCGUGCAAUCGGUACGCGUGCACGUGUCGUUUACGGCGUCUCAAUUAUUUACGAAGAUUCUUUCGUUUCUCUCUUUCACGAAAAAAAAAGAGAGAAAUUAAUGUUCGCUUCUCUGGUCAUGUCUGCGCAUAAUCCGGCGGCGGAUAGCAUCGACCGAGUGCUUUACUAAGAAUUUCAGAGGAUAUCCCACUAACCUAUUUAUAAUCUUGCGUAUUGAUAUGGUGACCGCAUUGUGGCAGUAAAAUUGGGAUCCACGUACACGCGUGUACACCGAGCGAUAUCAAAUUAUCUGACGCGACAUUUUCUCCUUUUUUUUUCCUUCACGGAUUAAACGUCUCGCUGCGCGCCGGCGUGAGAUAAUGUGCGUAAUCUAACGAACGGUUUCUACAGUGUAUAUAGAAAUAGCUAUGCUUAUUGCGCUUAUCACGUAGCGCUACGUAUUUAUUACUGCACCUGCCAUAAUAUCGUUAAUAAGUGCCGCUCGGAAUUGUUUUCUUUCAAACCGACCACAUGCCGGACGCCAAUUAAAUUAAAAAUUGCCAAUUUAAAACAAGUGGCGCUCGCUUCAAAGGCGUGGCAAUGAUUUUCGAAGCGUGAACGUGGUUGCAGACUGCCAAGACGCGACUGGCAAGAGAUGUUUGAACAUGGAAGAUUCGAAACAAGAAUAUCACGAAACCGGAACUUUCACGAAAAUUUUCGUUUUAAGCAGAGACUUGUAGAAUUCCGUCGUUGAGAUCGCGACUUUAGAGUCAUCUUUCUCACUUAUCCACAUCACAUUGUCGAACGUUACGUAAAAGGAACUAUAGCAUCGUCACAAUAGACGAAUAGAAGGUAUCCAUCGCGCAGGUAUCGAUUCACAUAUCGUGUCUGCAGUUUUUCAAGAAAUUGAACAAACAACUGUCCGUGGGAAGAGAAGUAGGGCGCAAUCGCUCCGUUAAUAUGAGUAUUAAAAUAUAUUAUAUGCUAAUCUGUAACCCCUUAGAUGACCUGUCGAGAGAGACGUUGCGUAAUGAGUACCUUGCGAUAUUUUUAUAUAAAUACGCACUUUUGUUCGUGCACAAAUAUAGCGAAUGAGAUAAACAGAGAAAGAAAGGGGGAAGAAAGAGAGAGAGAGAGAGAUAUUUAUGUUAUUUAAUAAAAUCCGAUUCUCACCGGAUGGGUCAAAUCAGAUCGCGAAUCGGAUAGUCGGUUGCAUCGCCGCGUAAUUCGACAAUAUGAAAGUUUAACGAGAAACAUAACGAGUGCAUCAAGUGUUCGAUCGAAUAAAUGAAGCGCAUACUUAACGAACGUGAGUGCUCCGCAUGCGCGGAAUGUAUUUAUUUGCGAGCUAAAAAUAUCCAAUUUUCUUUUUUAUAUUUUGGUAUUUUAUUUUAUGCGGUAUUUUCA